UCUCCGUUAGCGAACCAGCGGAGGGAUCAUUACCGAGUUUACAACUCCCAAACCCCUGUGAACAUACCAUUUGUUGCCUCGGCGGUGCCUGCUUCGGCAGCCCGCCAGAGGACCCAAACCCUUGAUUCUAUACAGUAUCUUCUGAGUAAAUGAUUAAAUAAAUCAAAACUUUCAACAACGGAUCUCUUGGUUCUG
rnacentral:misc_RNA from 1 species